rnacentral:tRNA from 1 species
GCAUCCAUGGCUGAAUGGUGAAACCGCCCACCAACCUAGAAAGGCAAAAUGGGUCAAAAAGUAGGUUCGAUUCCUGCCGGAUGCA